CUUCUUUGUAAGCGGGUCUUGACUGCCAGUGACUAAUUAACGGCCGCGGUAUUUUGACCGUGCGAGGUAGCGCAUCACUUGUCUUUUAAUGAGACUGUAUGAUGUGCACGAGGCUUACUGUCUCCAUCGAGUCAAUGAAAUUUGAUCUGCCCGUGGCGAUGCGGACUUAAAAAUUCCAAGACGAAGAAAGGACCCUUUUGGGAGCUUAAGGAUACCAAGAUCAACCUAGUGGUCAAGAACCAAAAACGGUAAACCUAAAUAGCAACUUGUCCCCUAUCCUUUCGGUUUGGGCCACCCGCGGGUAUAAAAACAAAGUUCCCCCGGCGGACUGGGGCCACCCCCAAAACCAAAAAUAUAUUUUUAUUCCCGAUAUUUUACCUUUAAUACCGGGCGCGGGCAGAUAAGGCCCGGUCCCUGGGGGACGCGCAACCUGCGAGUGCAUCGAAGGUUCACCGUGUGACAAACUCAUGGCACGCAUUGGUGCUGUACAUAGUUCA
rnacentral:rRNA from 1 species